rnacentral:rRNA from 1 species
UGGGGAAUAUUGCACAAUGGGCGCAAGCCUGAUGCAGCCAUGCCGCGUGUAUGAAGAAGGCCUUCGGGUUGUAAAGUACUUUCAGCGGGGAGGAAGGUGUUGAGGCUAAUAACCUCAGCAAUUGACGUUACCCGCAGAAGAAGCACCGGCUAACUCCGUGCCAGCAGCCGCGGUAAUACGGAGGGGGCAAGCGUUAAUCGGACUUACUGGGCGUAAAGCGCACGCAGGCGGUCUGUCAAGUCGGAUGUGAAAUCCCCGGGCUCAACCUGGGAACUGCAUUCGAAACUGGCAGGCUAGAGUCUUGUAGAGGGGGGUAGAAUUCCAGGUGUAGCGGUGAAAUGCGUAGAGAUCUGGAGGAAUACCGGUGGCGAAGGCGGCCCCCUGGACAAAGACUGACGCUCAGGUGCGAAAGCGUGGGGAGCAAACA